AGUGAACGCUAGCGGGAGGCCUAACACAUGCAAGCCGAGCGGUAGAGAUUCUUCGGAAUCUUGAGAGCGGCGCACGGGUGCGGAACACGUGUGCAACCUGCCUUUAUCUGGGGGAUAGCCUUUCGAAAGGAAGAUUAAUACCCCAUAAUAUAUUGAGUGGCAUCACUUGAUAUUGAAAACUCCGGUGGAUAGAGAUGGGCACGCGCAAGAUUAGAUAGUUGGUGAGGUAACGGCUCACCAAGUCAAUGAUCUUUAGGGGGCCUGAGAGGGUGAUCCCCCACACUGGUACUGAGACACGGACCAGACUCCUACGGGAGGCAGCAGUGAGGAAUAUUGGACAAUGGGUGAGAGCCUGAUCCAGCCAUCCCGCGUGAAGGACGACUGCCCUAUGGGUUGUAAACUUCUUUUAUACUGGGAUAAACCUACCCUCGUGAGGGUAGCUGAAGGUACAGUAUGAAUAAGCACCGGCUAACUCCGUGCCAGCAGCCGCAGUAA
rnacentral:rRNA from 1 species